GUGCUUGCUUUGGCAACAUGUAUACUAAAAUUGGAACAAUACUGAGAAGUUUAGCAUGUCCUUGUGCAAGGAUGACAUGCAAAUUUGUGAAGCAUUCUAUUUAAAA